GCUACGGGUGGCAGCAGUAGGGAAUAUUGCUCAAUGGGGGAAACCCUGAAGCAGCAACGCCGCGUGGAGGAUGAAGGUUUUCGGAUUGUAAACUCCUUUUGGUAGAGAAGAGAAUGACGGUAUCUAACGAAUAAGCACCGGCUAACUCCGGGCCAGCAGCCGCGGUAAUACGGAGGGUGCAAGCGUUACGCCGAAUCACUGGGCGUAAAGAGCGCGUAGGCGGGAUAGCAAGUCAGAUGUGAAAUCCUAGGGCUUAACCAUAGAACUGCAUUUGAAACUGUUAUUCUAGAGUAUGGGAGAGGUAGGUGGAAUUCUUGGUGUCGUGGUCCAAUCCGUAGAUAUC
rnacentral:rRNA from 1 species